ensembl:lncRNA
AUGAACACAUGAAGAUGAUGAACACAUGAAGAUGCUGAACACAUGAACACAUGAAGAUGAUGAACACAUGAAGAUGCUGAACACAUGAAGGUGAAGAACACAUGAACACAUGAAGCUGAUGAACACAUGAACACAGGAAGCUGCUGAACACAUGAACACAGGAAGCUGAUGAACACAUGAACACAGGAAGCUGCUGAACACAUGAAGAUGCUGAACACAUGAACACAUGAAGCUGCUGAACACAUGAACACAUGAAGAUGAUGAACACCUGAAGGUGCUGAGGCAGUGCGGAGCUGCACUGACAGCUGACACCAACACCAAUAUGUACGCUGAGAUUUCGCAGAACCUGAACUAUGCAGGU